rnacentral:rRNA from 1 species
GACGAACGCUGGCGGCGUGCCUAAUACAUGCAAGUCGAGCGGAUCUUCAUUAGCUUGCUUUUGAAGAUCAGCGGCGAACGGGUGAGUAACACGUGGGCAACUUGCCUGUAAGACUGGGAUAACUUCGGGAAACCGGAGCUAAUACCGGAUAAUCCUUUUCCUCUCAUGGGGAAAAGCUGAGAGACGGUUUCGGCUGCCACUUACAGAUGGGCCCGCGGCGCAUUAGCUAGUUGGUGAGGUAACGGCUCACCAAGGCGACGAUGCGUAGCCGACCUGAGAGGGUGAUCGGCCACACUGGGACUGAGACACGGCCCAGACUCCUACGGGAGGCAGCAGUAGGGAAUCUUCCGCAAUGGACGAAAGUCUGACGGAGCAACGCCGCGUGAGCGAUGAAGGCCUUCGGGUCGUAAAGCUCUGUUGUCAGGGAAGAACAAGUACCGGAGUAACUGCCGGUACCUUGACGGUACCUGACCAGAAAGCCACGGCUAACUACGUGCCAGCAGCCGCAGUAA